CCCGCGGCCGAGCCCCUGGCCAGGCCCCAGGCCGGCGCCUUCGGAAGCGACGUCUGGCGGGCCGCGGGGCACGAGGGGGAGAGCCGGGAAGCGUAAAUCCCCGAAGCGCGCGGAGAUCCGAUUAGCGCGCGGCUAUUCAUUAGGCUGGGGGCGAUUGAAUUAGGUCCCUGGGCGCGGUCGCCGGCUGGGGGUGUGUGGCGCCGACCCCCGGGCUCUUGCCGUGGCCUCGGGAGGCUGGAGCAGCGAGCAGCGGCCCCAGCGAGUGUGUCGGGGAAGCGGGUGCCUCCGGGUCCCGGCCCCGCGGGUGCAGGCGGAGGCUGCCCGCUUCCCGCGUACACCGAGGACGGCCGGCCCGGCUCCGGAGAAAUGGCGCUUGAGAAAGGAGGGGAGGGGAAGGUUCCCGGACCCUGGGCAGGGACCCGUCGCCGGGGACCCGCGGAGCCCUCCGGGGAUGGAGGAGGCGCGAGCUGGAAGCGGCGCGCGAGCCCGAGCGCGGGGCUAACACCGUGGGGCCCAGUCUCUCCUGGCUCGGGUAAGUGGACGCGCCCCGAGGCCCCGGGUCCACGCAGGGCGCCCCUCGCAGACGGCGCAUUUCCUACUCUCCUAAGGAACCGAGUUCCCAUCACUGCCUCCGAUGAGCCUGUUUCCGGAUCAGGAACCUUUUUCAAGUUAAUUUUUAAAGCCUCAUUUGAAUUUUUUAAUAUAGGAAAAUACGUAUACGAGAAAAAUCUUGGAUGCAACAAAAAGAACACCGUGGCCACCCGUGGUGUCCCAGAAGUUGCUCUGAGCUCCUCGCAUCAGGGCAGGUGCUCCACCUCUAACCGCCCUGUGGGGGAACGGGAGGCCCCAAGCCCCUGGGAGUCCUGGUCUCCUCUAGAGUGUGUUGGAAGGACAGCCGCUGGAAAGGCCCCUCAGAGCCCCUAAACCAGCCUCCCCUCCCCCGUGGGCAGAUUGUUCGAGGGUCCUGGAGCCUGAAUGAUGGGCCCUCGGCUUGCCCACCCCCAUCCCCAGUCAUCAAUCACCAUUUGAGAAAUGCCCACUGCCAGGGACAUGGGAGGGCAGAGGGUAGCUCGCGGGUGCGUGGCCCCUAUCUCCUCAAGCUGGUUUAGACCCUUCUGGCUCAGCCUCACCAGAUUCCUAGGAUGAGCACUGGCUUCAAAUCCCCCAAGUGCUGGUCCCUUCGUGUCCCCGAAAGAGGCUGCUCGCGUGGGCAAAGGCCCCGAGGCGUCGAGUGCGCCUUCCAGGGCAGUGCGGAAGCUCCCUGCCCUCCUCCUUCCUCCCCACUUCUGCCUCCUCCUCCCCCAGUGUUCACUUGAAGCAAAUUCUAGUGGGCUUUUUUUUUUUCAAUACUGUUUCAAAACAGUUGUUACAGCAAAUAACUGCAGACGGGUCUGCUGGACGCGGUGGAGAGGGGCUGGCAGCUGCCCAGCACAGGCGCCUGGCCGCUGGGCAGCUCCCGCAAUACCAAAAUAAGCUCCCGAGUUCCCCUGGAAGACUUGGGCCGCCGGGAGCUCAGGCUGGCGAUCUGCUCAGAGGAAACCUCCCUACUUUCCUUUUUUACUCUUCCUGCUGUCCAGAGCUAACAAAUGUUUUUAAUUUCAGAGGAACAUGGUGUGGGGAUCUGCAGACUUGCCUUCCACUGGGGAGAGGGCCAGCGAGGGGACAGAGGGGGAGGAAAGGAGAGGGGAUAAUAGACCCGAGGUCAGUGUUGAUGCUGGAGGGCCCAGGUCUCUGAAGUUCCUGCAGCUUUGCAGGUGAGCGGGCUGCAAGUGAGGCUAGGCCUGUGGACACCCAGUGGGGCCUGGAACAGUGCCAGGAGUGGCCUUGAACCCCACCUUGAUCCCUCUCCAGCAGGAUCUGGAGUCACUUCCAUGGGCCUGGCAUACACCACUCCAGAUUUGCCCUCUGGCCUGGGGAGCAGAUAACCCCCCGCCCCACAUAACCAGCUGCGCUCCUACACCUAGCAGGCCGGCUCACAUCACCCUUUAACGCACACUAUAUUCACACACACACUUGUGCACAGUCUUGAAUGUGUGCCCACACAUCUGCCUGCACACACUCAUGUGCCCACAUGUGAAUCACUUGGAAGUGUACACAAAACCAAACCCACAGCACAGAUGGGCAGACAGGUGAGCCUCGUGCAGCAUGUGACACUCCCACAUGCACAAGACAUGUGUGCAGAGGCAUAUCACACACGCAGAAGCACUCCCGAGAACUGCCUUCUCCCUUUCAGCCUAGGGGCCCCUGUUCCCCCACAACCGGGCCCAGCCCUGGAGCCCCCUCCAGCACUCCUCUCCCACCCCCACGCUCCCCAAGAGCAGCAGAUGUAGGUCUCCCGGCUCCCAAACCUCUGAGAUGCUGCUCUGUCUGAAAUCAUCAUAUAAAUAAUCAUUUUUUAAUACAAGGGGGUGGGGGUGUCAGGCAAGUUCCAUGAAAUUGUGAAUUAGCCGCUGCUCCAAAUAAAUGCCUGCUUCGGCCCGAGAGCAGCCGCGCUGCGCCCGCUGCGCCCCCAAUAAUCGUGUGUUGGGUAUCUCUCCAUUGUUCCCUGGGCCAUUAGUCAAAGGGCAAAUUAGAAACAAUUUCUUGACGACAAAAAUUGACUCUUAAUUCUUCCCACCAGAGGCGCAGGGGGACAAGUCCAGAGGCCAGGCCUGAGGCUGGGGCUGGCGGCAGGAGGGGUAGGCGGGGUAGAGGUGGGGUAGAGGUGGGGGAUCUAAGAUGGUUCACAGCACAGAGACCUCCCUCAACUGGAGGGCAGCAGCAGCUCACCCCCACCCCAGAAUCAGUGUUCCAGAGGACAGCUGGGGGCAGGGGGUUAGGAACAAUCCCACUCCCUCCUGGAAGAGGUCCUGACCCCCCACCCCACCCAUCUGCCUGUACGGGUCCCUCUGCUAUCGACUGGGGCGAGUUCUUUUCAUGAGGGCCUUGCCUGGUGCCUGGAGGGAACAGGGUGUGGGGGAAAGGUCUGUGUGUUCCCCCCUCACCUCCCCUGCUCAGCGGUGUGGCCUCUGGCUCUGGGGAGGAUCGGGAAGCCCCAGGGUCCGUGCCUUGGAGUGGGGGGACAGCCUUUUCUCUGCCACAGCUUCUGCCUUUGGAGGCUUACCCUUCCUAGGAGCAGAACUGUUGUGGAGGGGAAGAGGACGGCGAAGGUUCCGAAGGGAAGGGGGCUGCCCCCACUGAAAACGAAGCUUCCAGUCACAGCCCCUUCAUUAUUUAUCAGGACCCAGGGGAUGAGGUGGCAGGGGAGGGGGCUGCAUGGAGGGAGUGCCCUCACCCUCGUCCCCAGCGCCUGCCCCCUCCCGACCAGGCCUGGGCUGAGGCCCAGGGUAAGGGGGCUGAGGCAGGCCACAGAGGAGCAAGACUUGUCAGGGGCCAGACCUGGGUAGGAGGAUUGUCCUCCAGGCACACACGGCCCCCAGCCCCCCAGCCUGUCGAACUGGGCUCUCCCAGAAGGUCCCCGGCUCCAGCCCAAGCAGGGAGCCAGGUUGGGGGUGUGGGAAGGCAGAAGUCCCAGGGAUCCUGGGGGAGGCUCAGGUUGUACCUGAAGGCCACAGUCUCCUCGACAGACCUCGGACGAGGUUGUAAGUGUUUUAAAGAAACUAGAGCAGCAGAGAAGAGAGACUCAGAAGCCCGUGGCACGGCUUUCUCGGCGUCCCCUCCAGCGAGGGGGUCUCCAUUGCUGCAGUUGCCGGUUUUGUCCAACCAGGAGGUUGACCCGAAACAGCCCUCCGUCUUCCUGCCCAUGAGGAUGAGGACAGGAAGCCAGACCCGGGAGAGAAAGCCCAGAUCAGACAGAUGGGGGUUGGGAGGGCCUAGUGGCUGAAACUGCCCUGCUUGGGGACAAUGCUCAGGCAGGACCAAUCCAAACGAGGGCACUGCUUAUGUGGUCCUUCCGGAGCAUCCUCCAAGGCAGAGCCUGGCUUCGGGCCCUCCCUGCAAGGACACCUGCCUCCACUCCCUGCCAGACCAGGCCUGGCUGCAGAGGCGGAGGGGCGGCAGGGCUGCCUGUCUCCACUGUUUGGCGGUGUUUACACGUGUCGCUGUCAGGGUGUCUGGACAGUGGGGGUCGGGGGCCUCCCGGGCCCAGACUUCCCCAGGCCUAUUCUCACACUGGUGAGAGGGCCCUAGGGGAAGGGUGUGGGCUGGGUGGCGGGGCCAGGCCAGCUGAGACCUACAGGACCGUGGAGCAUUUAGGUCUCCCACCCAACUCCACCCGGUCCUCUGAGCAUCAGUUACAGAGCCCAGGCAGCAGGAGGGCAGGGCCCAGCCCCUUAUCACCCAUCCUCAAGGCAGGCAGGAACCCUGAAGGCAGCUUCCACCAGGGGUUCCCUUAGCCCCCACCCUCCAAAAGCCCCAGACCCUGCCAGGCCUCACCCUGCCAGCAUCGUGGCCCCAGCUGACGGCUCCCAAGGGCAGGUGCUGGCAACACAAGCAGGAGCCCUCGGGGCAUCCCGCAGGGCACACACCAGGUCGCCCUGGGCUCCCCAAGCACCUCCCAGACCCAGCCCUUGGGUGGGUCCUGGCCCACAAACCCCCACGCCCUGCCCCUGAGAUGAGCCCCACCGCCCACCUGCCCUCCAGCCCUGGAGACCUUUCUCCCCCUUGGCCAUGGCUCCCAUGGGGAGGCUGCAGGCCCUCCCUGGGCUGGACCAGAGGGGACAGACUGUCUCUCCCCUGCGACUUCUGGGGGCACUGGAGUCCUUGGCCUGGUUACCUUCAGCAUUUAUAGCCCUCCAGUGAGUUAUUCCUCGGAGUUCUCACAGAGCAGCAUGCGCCUGCGGCAAAGCCCUCACCUCCAGCCCCUGGACCACCUGACUGCUGCCUCCCGCCUGGCGCCAAACACGGCCACCGCCUCUUUUGUUAACAGGACAGUUGAUCCAUUAAAUUAAAAAUCAUUCAAUAGAUUCAUUUUUUUUUUCUGGCCUGAACAAAUACGUAUUCCAUCUCAAUUCAUGAAGCAUCAG
rnacentral:lncRNA from 1 species